rnacentral:rRNA from 1 species
UGCGUAGGCGGGACUGUAAGUAUCAUGUGAAAUCCCACGGCUCAACCGUGGAAUGGCUUGGUAGACUGCAGUCCUUGAGAUCGGUAGAGGAUGCUGGAACUCUAGGUGGAGCGGUGAAAUGCGUAGAUAUCUAGAGGAACACCAAAGGUGAAGACAGGCAUCUGGGCCGAAUCUGACGCUGAGGCACGAAAGCGUGGGUAGCGAACAGGAUUAGAUACCCUGGUAGUCC